CGGGAAGUAGCUCAGUUUGGUAGAGCACUUGGUUUGGGACCAAGGGGUCGUAGGUUCAAAUCCUGUCUUCCCGACCA
rnacentral:tRNA from 1 species